GGAUAGCUUAGUUGGUUACAGUGUGGUGCUGAUUAUGCCAAGGUCGCAGGUUCGAUUCCCAUAUGAAACA